AACCAGGAGAAAAUCAGCCAUUCAUCUUGCCUCAGGAAAUCUGAUCAGAGCGCUCUACUAAAUGAGCACUCUCUACCCAGGUUCACAAGGUCCAGGAAGGGGAGCUGCCGGGGGACACGCCACCACUGAAGGUAAAGGUUGGUGACUGGGUAGGGUUAAAGUCCACACGAGAAAGUGGCUGGAACCCAGGUGGACUGGACCGUACGAAGUGAAGGAGGUUACUUCACACUCAGUCCAGGUCAAAGGUAAAUUAGGCGCACCUUGGCACCACCUUACACAUUGCACCCUAGCCCCAACUCCUUCCAAAACACUGACCGAAGUCAGAGCUGAUUUGAGCGGCCUAAAUUCGAUUCCAAAUGAAGACACUCCUUCCUCAGGUGAUGCGGCAUCAAACUCCGCCUCCCUGAAAAAGGAACCUCGCCCAGUUAGAGGGACAUUUCUCCCUCCCUGGGUGAGGCUGGGGAUAUCUGGCCCUUUGUUUGUGAUAUUCCUACUGAUCUUUGGGGUGUCCUUAGGCACUCUCACAUGGUUAAUAGAACAACAAACACAUACUAAAGCAUCAACCCUUCUCACCCCAACCCAUAUCCCUGAUAACAUUCCUAGCACCACUCCCUUCAAUCUCACACGCACCAAACGUAGCACUACACCUACAGACCCACCAUGCACACCAGACAAGGUUAGAGGCACCACCUUAUGUAUACCCACGAAUGCAACCACCACCAUUGCACUAUAGUUUUCACGUCUAAUAGACGUGAAGAGGGGGAUUUGUUAUAUAAAUAUUCAUACACAUAACUCAUAUAGUAUACAGCGCUAAGCUAAACCGCCUGACUCAAGUCAUCUUACGUACCCUUGCUAAAGCAGGAACUAGCUCACACAGCCAGCAAUAAAACUACCCCCCUAAAACCAUCCCCUCAGCUUGGUUGUCUCCCGACCCCAGGAAACAAAGACAUUCCAUUGCAUGAACACAUGCACCCAGCCAUAAAAACUGCCCCUCUACCUCACGAACCCCUGACACAAACAUCUCCUAGUAUAAACACAUCUCCCCCCUCUACUGGUCGGGGGCUCAGAGAACAAGACUCUGUUCUGUACCAAUGGGGCUCAUGCUCUGGAUUAGAGCAGGUCCGCCUCCAACUUUUUGGGACCAAUCAGAAGACAAAAA